AUUGAACGCUGGCGGCAGGCUUAACACAUGCAUGUCGAGCGGAGCGAGGGUGCUUGCACCUUAGCUUAGCGGCGGACGGGUGAGUAAUGCUUAGGAAUCUGCCUAUUAGUGGGGGACAACAUUCCGAAAGGAAUGCUAAUGCCGCAUACGCCCUACGGGGGAAAGCAGGGGAUCUUCGGACCUUGCGCUAAUAGAUGAGCCUAGGUCGGAUUAGCUAGUUGGUGGGGUAAAGGCCUACCAAGGCGACGAUCUGUAGCGGGUCUGAGAGGAUGAUCCGCGACACUGGGACUGAGACACGGCCAAGACGCCGACGGGAGGCAGCAGGGGGGAAUAGUGGACAAGGGGGGGAGCCCUGAACCAGCCAUGCCGCGUGUGGGAAGAAGGCCUUAUGGUUGUAAAGCACUUUAAGCGAGGAGGAGGCUCUUUUGGUUAAUACCCAAGAUGAGUGGACGUUACUCGCAGAAUAAGCACCGGCUAACUCUGUGCCAGCCGCCGCAGUAA
rnacentral:rRNA from 1 species